AACACGUAGGUAACCUGCCUGUGAGACUGGGAUAACUACCGGAAACGGUAGCUAAUACCGGAUAAUACAUUUUCUCUCCUGAGGAAAUGUUGAAAGGCGGAGCAAUCUGUCACUUACAGAUGGACCUGCGGCGCAUUAGCUUGUUGGUGAGGUAACGGCUCACCAAGGCGACGAUGCGUAGCCGACCUGAGAGGGUGAACGGCCACACUGGGACUGAGACACGGCCCAGACUCCUACGGGAGGCAGCAGUAGGGAAUCUUCCGCAAUGGACGAAAGUCUGACGGAGCAACGCCGCGUGAGUGAUGAAGGUUUUCGGAUCGUAAAGCUCUGUUGCCAGGGAAGAAGAUUCAGGAGAGUAACUGCUCCUGGAGUGACGGUACCUGAGAAGAAAGCCCCGGCUAACUACGUGCCAGCAGCCGCGGUAAUACGUAGGGGGCAAGCGUUGUCCGGAAUUAUUGGGCGUAAAGCGCGCGCAGGCGGUCAUUUAAGUCUGGUGUUUAAUCCCGGGGCUCAACCCCGGGUCGCACUGGAAACUGGGUGACUUGAGUACAGAAGAGGAGAGUGGAAUUCCACGUGUAGCGGUGAAAUGCGUAGAUAUGUGGAGGAACACCAGUGGCGAAGGCGACUCUCUGGGCUGUAACUGACGCUGAGGCGCGAAAGCGUGGGGAGCAAACAGGAUUAGAUACCCUGGUAGUCCACGCCGUAAACGAUGAGUGCUAGGUGUUAG
rnacentral:rRNA from 1 species